rnacentral:rRNA from 1 species
CGCCUGUUUAUCAAAAACAUCGCCUCUUGAACCCUAUAAGAGGUCCAGCCUGCCCAGUGACUCUGUUCAACGGCCGCGGUAUCCUAACCGUGCGAAGGUAGCGUAAUCACUUGUUCUUUAAAUAAGGACUAGUAUGAAUGGCACCACGAGGGUUAUACUGUCUCCUUUUUCCGAUCAGUGAAACUAAUCUCCCCGUGAAGAAGCGGGGAUAAAAAUAUAAGACGAGAAGACCCUAUGGAGCUUUAAACUUUCAUCAAUUGCCAUUAACUUUUUUAAUUUCUGAAAAUCAAAUUUAAACUUGCAUCCUUGAUUUAAAGUUUUCGGUUGGGGUGACCACGGAGCAAAAUUCAACCUCCGCACUGAAAGGACCUAAAACCUUAGCUAAGAGCUACAACUCUACGCAUCAACAACUUGACACCAAUUGACCCAAAUAUAUUGAUCAAUGAACCAAGUUACCCUAGGGAUAACAGCGCAAUCCACUCCAAGAGCCCCUAUCGACGAAUGGGUUUACGACCUCGAUGUUGGAUCAGGGUAUCCCAGUGGUGUA